UACGUAGGGUGCGAGCGUUAAUCGGAAUUACUGGGCGUAAAGCGUGCGCAGGCGGUUUUGCAGGUCAGAUGUGAAAGCCCCGGGCUCAACCUGGGAAUUGCAUUUGAAACUACAAGGCUAGAGUGUGUCAGAGGGGGGUAGAAUUCCACGUGUAGCAGUGAAAUGCGUAGAGAUGUGGAGGAAUACCGAUGGCGAAGGCGACUCACUGGACCAUUACUGACGCUGAGGCACGAAAGCUAGGGGAGCAAACAGG
rnacentral:rRNA from 1 species